UACAGAGGGGGCAAGCGUUGUUCGGAAUUACUGGGCGUAAAGGGCGCGUAGGCGGCCUUCUAAGUCGAACGUGAAAUCCCUGGGCUCAACCCAGGAACUGCGUCCGAUACUGGAAGGCUUGAAUCCGGGAGAGGGAUGCGGAAUUCCAGGUGUAGCGGUGAAAUGCGUAGAUAUUCGGAAGAACACCAGUGGCGAAGGCGGCUCACUGGUCCGGUACUGACGCUGAGGUGCGAAAGCGUGGGGAGCAAACAGG
rnacentral:rRNA from 1 species